rnacentral:rRNA from 1 species
AUGAUGAUACUUGACCCAACGGAGACAGAUCCGGCGGAUGGGAUAAAAAGGAAGCAUGAGGGGCUGGCAAAGCAAUUCCAUGUUUGGUUCUGUACCCUUUUCAACGAUAUAUUCAGUGCUGGGUUGGUUGAGAAGACCGAAUGGAAAUUCGUGUACCCUUUGGAGGAUAGUGGGGGCGUAUGUCGGGCACUACAUCCUUCAGUUCACUGGUCUGUACCUGAGAUCUACUGUAAGACCAGGAGCAGAUCGAGUACCUUAGGAAGAAGUAUUUAUCCUUUUAUCAAAAAAAACUGCAGGUCCCCUUGGGUGGCAGUGGGGUGCAAGGUGGCCUUCACAUUAGAAAUGGCGUUGAGAAUGCAAAUCCUACAGGGACAAGGCCUUGAGAUCGAGAAAUGUGCAGGCUAA